GGGGGUGUACUGGUUUCGACGGGGAUCCUGAGAUUGGGCAAGCGAGCCGUGGACCCUGGCCACGUAAAAACGGGGAAAUAAAACGAACUGACAAUAGCGAAUACGCUUUCGCGGCGUAAUGCCGCGCGUCGGCCCGGGGGCCCCGUCCUCCCGGAACCCGGCGUCAAUUGACGGGCAAUGAACCCGCCUAAGCUUUGCGGCGGCGUUCAUAUCAUGAAGCUACCGAGGCCGCAAGCCCGCCUAUGGGCGUGCGGCGGGGGGAAUCCCAAAUCGUAGGCUGCGCUCGGAGAAACCCCCUUUGACGGGUUUUCGGACAGGAGUUCGAUUCUCCUCACCUCCACCA
rnacentral:tmRNA from 1 species